CGGGUGAGUAACGCGUGAGGAACCUGCCUCAAAGAGGGGGACGAACAUUGGAAACGACUGCUAAUACCGCAUAAGCCCACGGCUCGGCAUCGAGCAGAGGGAAAAGGAGUGAUCCGCUUUGAGAUGGCCUCGCGUCCGAUUAGCUGGUUGGUGAGGUAACGGCCCACCAAGGCGACGAUCGGUAGCCGGACUGAGAGGUUGAACGGCCACAUUGGGACUGAGACACGGCCCAG
rnacentral:rRNA from 1 species